rnacentral:rRNA from 1 species
AGUGAACGCUGGCGGUAGGCCUAACACAUGCAAGUCGAACGGCAGCACAGUAAGAGCUUGCUCUUACGGGUGGCGAGUGGCGGACGGGUGAGGAAUACAUCGGAAUCUACUUUUUCGUGGGGGAUAACGUAGGGAAACUUACGCUAAUACCGCAUACGACCUACGGGUGAAAGCAGGGGAUCUUCGGACCUUGCGCGAUUGAAUGAGCCGAUGUCGGUUUAGCUAGUUGGCGGGGUAAAGGCCCACCAAGGCGACGAUCCGUGGCUGGUCUGAGAGGAUGAUGAGCCAAACUGGAACUGAGACACGGUCAAGACUCCAACGGGAGGCAGCAGUGGGGAAUUUUGGCCAAUGGGCGAAAGCCUGAUCCAGCCAUACCGCGUGGGUGAAGAAGGCCUUCGGGUUGUAAAGCCCUUUUGUUGGGAAAGAAAAGCAGCAGGUUAAUACCCCGCUGUUCUGACGGUACCCAAAGAAUAAGCACCGGCUAACUUCGU